UCUUGCUUCAAAUUCACACACUCACACACACUUAUGUAAAUAAAGAGAGGUUCAUAACUGUAAAAGUAUUAAAUCAUACUGCAAAAAAUGGAUGAGCAUCAGGAAAUUCCGAGUAAGUUGUGUUCAGUUUCGUCAUCAGAAAAUCGAGAUUCGAUCGGGUUUACGAUAAAAUCGAGGCACCGAAGUUUGUAUACUUCACUGUGCCCGAUCACUACAGGCCCAAUGAUCGUUAUUGGUUUUGCCUUCGCGUGGGAUGUGAUCAAAAGCAUGAGGAAGAAAUGGAUUCUGAAGCAAUCUACAACAAUUUUGUUCUUCGGGUGAUGGCAGCCAGGAGUACCAAUGUAAGGCUUCGGAAAGCACUUGAUAGAAAUGCUUCAAGCUCUCCCUAAAUCUUCCAAGCCAAGACUGUCAAGGAUGGCUGUCAUUUCAUUGAUUUCUAAGAAGAUGGCCGAGGACAACAAAAAGGUCGUCCGGCCCCUUUCGAAGCCUUGUUCUACACCGCUGACAAAGACAAAACCAAUUGCUGCAAAGUAUCUUACGACUCCAAGGAACAAAAAGAGCACAUCGGAUCAAAGUUCAUUUCAAAGUGUUCAGUAUCCAAAGCCUAUCAAUGUCGAAGUGCCAAAGAGUCGAAUAGUGGCAAAGGCUUUGGUUUUUCGCUCUCCGAAGAAGGCCACUAAGGUAAAGACAUCUGUUGAGCUGCGUAUACCUGUUUCAAAAUCAUGCCAAGGGAUGAACAGGCUUGAGAUUUCGAGUCAGAGAAAGCGUGUCUUGGGCUAUUCUUGCAACUCAUCGAAGAAGUUGAGUAAUAGUUCUUUGAGGAGACAGGUGAGCAGUCAGAAGUUGCAGCCUAAGCCUGAAAAACCUCUUCAAACUUGCAAAGUUCAAGAUGCUAAAUCUGAAAGAUCGACUAGAACUAAGAUUAAAGGACAGCUAUCUCAGCAGAAGGAGACUAUGAAUUGCUGGGAAGCAAUGCGACACAUAGCAUAAAGAAGAAAGAAAAUUGUGACAUUCGAAAACAGUUAGCUACAAAAGUCAUUGAAGAGUCUGGACUUCGAGAAUCUAGUCAUGAAGACGCAUGUAUGCGUUCAGCAGUGCCACCAGUGGCACAAUGCACAAUGCUUGGAUUCAGUCUCACUUGAUUGGUUAAAAUUUGAAGUUAGCCUUCUAGUUAGAAGGAAGAGAUGAUUCACGAUCCGGAGCUACAAAAGCUCAGGACAGUAAUGGUAACAAUGGAAACAAUUCUUAUGAAGGGGAACGGAGUCGACUUGACUAUGAGGAUGGAGAUGAUAAAGAAAAUGCUGCAGCCUCUGAUGAUAACAGGAUACCAAACACCAUUCUGAAGGAAAAUGGAGGAAAAAUCUUCGGAGUGCACAAGAAAUGUGACAAUGUUAGAAAAAAGGGUGCUCAACCACAGGAUACUCUGAAAGAGGGUUUGUGUGGUCCAGUGACUAAGCUGAAGAAACCAAAGGCCACAAAUCCUAAGCCAUUUAGACUAAGAACUGAUGAGAGAGGAAUCCUCAAAGAAACCAUCUUGGAUAGAAGAGUCGUCCCAACCCCCAGCUAGCCAAUGUGAAAAUGCAAAUGUUAAGUACCCCAGGUGGGAAGUUGCAGCAGAAAAGUUUAAGUGAUAUUCAAGUAAGCAUUUUUGUUUCAGGGGAAGAAGCUAACAAUGUGUAAGCAUGGCAGUAGCUUUUAAGGCUCCAAAACGGCAGGAGAGGUCAAAGUCAGCAGCGUCGAUGAAACCACAAAGUAAUAAAUCUAAGAGCAUCCGCAGCGGGAUGCUCUUCCGGACGGCGGAGCCGUGACGUCGGCACGGCGCUGCUCGACGCCUAGAGCAACGGUGACACAUGGCAUUUUCUGGUUGGGCGGUGACUGACACCCAAUCGCGCCCCCCGUGACCUGGCGUCCCGCCUUGCCCUGUAAUUUUUUUUUAAAUUCAAAAAAUCUGAAAAAUCAUAUUUAAAUAAUAAAAAAAAAAAUUCUCACUUCCCAAUAAAAUAUAUCCAUUUUUUCAUACCCAAAAUUCACAUUUUCAUCUAUACACCCCUAUUUCACCCAAAAUAAAAAAAGUCUCACACCACACCCGAAAACUCUCUCAAAUUCUCUCUCUCUCUCUCUUGCAAACAUGUCCGGCGAAUACCCCUCCGGAUGGAACCAUGAUUGGUUCGGCGGGUUAUCAUCGGCCUCGCCGGAUAUGAAUUUCUCGCCCCCUCCUCCUACCUAAGACUCGGGUAUUCCGGGUGGCUACCGACUAGACCUGCCCAAGGUUUACCAAACCGGCGGUUAACCGCGAAACCGGAACCGCGAGAAAUAUCCCGAAACAAAAUCGUGAAUUUUAGAACCGUGGUUCAAUUCAGGUUUCAAAAUUUUAGAACCGAAACCGCGACCGAACUGUCGGUUCCGAACCGCCGGUUAACCAGCAGAUUCAU